rnacentral:rRNA from 1 species
AUUGAACGCUGGCGGCAGGCCUAACACAUGCAAGUCGAACGGUAGCACAGAGAGCUUGCUCUCGGGUGACGAGUGGCGGACGGGUGAGUAAUGUCUGGGAAACUGCCCGAUGGAGGGGGAUAACUACUGGAAACGGUAGCUAAUACCGCAUAAUGUCGCAAGACCAAAGAGGGGGACCUUCGGGCCUCUUGCCAUCGGAUGUGCCCAGAUGGGAUUAGCUUGUUGGUGAGGUAAUGGCUCACCAAGGCUACGAUCCCUAGCCGGUCUGAGAGGAUGACCAGCCACACUGGAACUGAGACACGGUCCAGACUCCUACGGGAGGCAGCAGUGGGGAAUAUUGCGCAAUGGGCGCAAGCCUGAUGCAGCCAUGCCGCGUGUGUGAAGAAGGCCUUCGGGUUGUAAAGCACUUUCAGCGGGGAGGAAGGCGUUACGGUUAAUAACCGUGUUGAUUGACGUUACCCGCAGAAGAAGCACCGGCUAACUCCGUG